GCAAGUCGAGGGGCAGCACAUGAAGUAGCAAUACGGAUGGUGGCGACCGGCGCACGGGUGAGUAACGCGUAUGCAACCUACCUACAACAGGGGGAUAACCCGUUGAAAGACGGACUAAUACCCCAUAAUACAGGGGUCCCGCAUGGGGAUAUUUGUUAAAGAUUAAUCGGUUGUAGAUGGGCAUGCGUUCCAUUAGCUGGUUGGUGAGGUAACGGCUCACCAAGGCAACGAUGGAUAGGGGAACUGAGAGGUUUAUCCCCCACACUGGUACUGAGACACGGACCAGACUCCUACGGGAGGCAGCAGUGAGGAAUAUUGGUCAAUGGACGCAAGUCUGAACCAGCCACGUCGCGUGAAGGAAGACGGCCCUACGGGUUGUAAACUUCUUUUGUAAGGGAAUAAAGUGAGUCACGUGUGACUUUUUGCAUGUACCUUACGAAUAAGGAUCGGCUAACUCCGUGCCAGCAGCCGCGGUAAUACGGAGGAUCCGAGCGUUAUCCGGAUUUAUUGGGUUUAAAGGGUGCGCAGGCGGGAGAUUAAGUCGGCGGUGAAAUUUUGCAGCUCAACUGUAAAAGUGCCAUCGAUACUGGUUUUCUUGAGUGUGGAUGAAGUAGGCGGAAUUUGUGGUGUAGCGGUGAAAUGCAUAGAUAUCACAAGGAACACCGAUUGCGCAGGCAGCUUACUAAACCAUAACUGACGCUCAGGCACGAAGGCGUGGGGAGCAAACAGGAUUAGAUACCCUGGUAGUCCACGCAGUAAACGAUGAUUACUAGCUGUUUGCGAUACAUGUAAGCGGCUGAGCGAAAGCGUUAAGUAAUCCACCUGGGGAGUACGUUCGCAAGAAUGCAACUCAAAUGAAUUGACGGAA
rnacentral:rRNA from 1 species